rnacentral:rRNA from 1 species
AAAAAAGGUAAGCUACUAAGAGCGAAUGGUGGAUGCCUUGACUGGUAAAGGCGAUGAAGGACGUACUAGACUGCGAUAAGCUACGGGGAGCUGUCAAGAAGCUUUGAUCCGUAGAUUUCCGAAUGGGGCAACCCAAUGUAUAGAGAUAUGCAUUACCUAUAUAGGAGCGAACGAGGGGAAUUGAAACAUCUUAGUACCCUCAGGAAAAGAAAUCAAUAGAGAUUGCGUCAGUAGCGGCGAGCGAAA